ACGGCAAUAUUACAUUGAAUCACCGGUUCUCGUGCGAUCACCGAAGUUAAGCAGCAUAAAUCCUGGUCAGUAUCGAGAUGGGUGUCCGUUUUGGUAUCCAAGGUGUUGUAAG